UACGGGGGGGGCAAGCGUUGUUCGGAAUUACUGGGCGUAAAGGGCUCGUAGGUGGCCAACUAAGUCAGACGUGAAAUCCCUCGGCUUAACCGGGGAACUGCGUCUGAUACUGGAUGGCUUGAGUUUGGGAGAGGGAUGCGGAAUUCCAGGUGUAGCGGUGAAAUGCGUAGAUAUCUGGAGGAACACCGGUGGCGAAGGCGGCAUCCUGGACCAACACUGACACUGAGGAGCGAAAGCCAGGGGAGCAAACAGG
rnacentral:rRNA from 1 species